UCUAGUGGCGGACGGGUGAGUAACGCGUGGGUAACCUGCCUUAUACAGGGGGAUAACAACCAGAAAUGGUUGCUAAUACCGCAUAAGCGCACAGGACCGCAUGGUCCGGUGUGAAAAACUCCGGUGGUAUAAGAUGGACCCGCGUUGGAUUAGCUAGUUGGCAGGGUAACGGCCUACCAAGGCGACGAUCCAUAGCCGGCCUGAGAGGGUGAACGGCCACAUUGGGACUGAGACACGGCCCAGACUCCUACGGGAGGCAGCAGUGGGGAAUAUUGCACAAUGGGGGAAACCCUGAUGCAGCGACGCCGCGUGAAGGAAGAAGUAUCUCGGUAUGUAAACUUCUAUCAGCAGGGAAGAUAGUAACGGUACCUGACUAAGAAGCCCCGGCUAACUACGUGCCAGCAGCCGCGGUAAUACGUAGGGGGCAAGCGUUAUCCGGAUUUACUGGGUGUAAAGGGAGCGUAGACGGACUGGCAAGUCUGAUGUGAAAGGCGGGGGCUCAACCCCUGGACUGCAUUGGAAACUGUUAGUCUUGAGUGCCGGAGAGGUAAGCGGAAUUCCUAGUGUAGCGGUGAAAUGCGUAGAUAUUAGGAGGAACACCAGUGGCGAAGGCGGCUUACUGGACGGUAACUGACGUUGAGGCUCGAAAGCGUGGGGAGCAAACAGGAUUAGAUA
rnacentral:rRNA from 1 species